rnacentral:lncRNA from 1 species
AGUGGAGGGAAGUCAUCAGGUCAGAGCACAUACCCCUAGCCUGAAACAGAGAAGAGGAAGGGGAUAUCAUAGGCUAGGGAAUCCUCCCAGAGGAGGAAAGAUUUCAGUCCAGAUUUUAGGCAUACCAGCCCUGGGGUUUAACAGGAAGAUGAGCUACCUUAUCUGGUUUGACAGCCAGUGGAGGUUUACCUGAGUUUGUAAGAAACUGAGACGCUGCUCUUAAAGGGUAUGCACCAGAACUGCUCACUCCCAGUCACAGCAUGAAGACAGCAGAUUGCAAACUGCCUGGGACUCUGGGCAGCUUGUAGGGACCACUCCAACACUCCCACCAAGCCUUAACUGAGCUUCUGCUCCAGUCCCUCUUGUUCCUGUGGCUGCUGCCCACCAAGGGGGAGGCCACCAUUGUUAAAGAAAGUGUGCACUCUUAGACACAACAGAGGUAACUUGGACACUGGUCCUGCAACUGAGCCAUUGUCAACUCAUAUGUCUCUGCACACACUCCAGGAGGAGUGAAGUUAGCUCCAGAGAAGAUAACGUUAUCAACAGAGUGUACAUCCCUCUGUGUACUUAGGAGAGAGCAGGGCCGGUUCAGUGGUAUGGCACCAACCCCUCAGUCCUGCUCAGAGUCUCACUGAGACAUACACACUGGGGAAAAAGAGAAACCAGCCCAGAAGCACAGCCCCAAGCUGUCAGGCCUUGGUACUGCCACAGAAUAAAUCAGAGACUGCCAUUACAGACAUGAGAAAACCAGUUUCUCAAGGCUCUUGUUCCAGCACCUCAGGCUGCACCCUGCCUCUGAUAAGGUGAUGAAAGCCAUGGAGAAUUGAAGCUCUUGCUCACCCCUGGCUCUGGCUCUAACCCCACCAACUCCAGCCCUACAUUUUCAGAGGAAGUCACACUAUCUUCAAGUACCUAUGGAACUUUCUCCAGGAUACAUCACAUACUAAGCCUCAGGACGAAUCUUAACAAAUUUAAGAGGAUAAAAAUUAUAUCAAUCAUCUAUUUCGAGCACUCCAGUACAAAACUACAGGAAGAAA